rnacentral:rRNA from 1 species
CGUACAGGUUUCCGUAGGUGAACCUGCGGAAGGAUCAUUAAAUGAAAAGCUGGUUUACCAGUAUACGGCCCCUGGGUUUGUUUCUGACAAGCGCCAGGAUCAGUCGUCAUUUAUACCCAUGUUUUUUGAGUACUACUUGUUUCCUUGGUAGGCUUGCCUACCAUUAGGACCACACAAAACCUUUUGUAAUUGCAGUCAGCGUCAGAAAUAACUUAAUAGUUACAACUUUCAACAACGGAUCUCUUGGUUCUGGCAUCGAUGAAGAACGCAGCGAAAUGCGAUAAGUAGUGUGAAUUGCAGAAUUCAGUGAAUCAUCGAAUCUUUGAACGCACAUUGCGCCCCUUGGUAUUCCAUGGGGCAUGCCUGUUCGAGCGUCAUUUGUACUCUCAAGCUCUGCUUGGUGUUGGGUGUUUGUCCCGCGUUGCGUGUGGACUCGCCUUAAAGCAAUUGGCAGCCGGCAUAUUGGCCUUGGAACGCAGCACAUUUUGCGAUCCUAGUCAUACUUGUUGGCAUCCAUCAAGCCUAUACAUUAACGCUUGACCUCGGAUCAGGUANGGAUACCCGCUGAACUUAAGCAUAUCA